UGGAGUCAGAGUACCUCAGAAAUGCUAAGGAAGUGGAGGCACCAGGUAUCUUUAAGGAGAGGAGUGGGUGACCCAUGCAAGAACUCAGGAAAAAGUUAGCUGGCUGUACCUGCUAAUUAUCAUGACUAUAAUUGAUGAAGACACUGGAGCUAGAGGGAGAGGACAUCCACGCAAUUCAUGGGCCUCCAAGGCUGUCAACAAUCCAGAUGAGGAACAUGUGGCCUUUGUUGUGUUGAUUGAUAUUAUGCAGAACCAAUCUGAAGACAGUGGCUUGCCAAGCCAACCUGCUGCUCCCCGUGAAUCUUGGAAGACCCCAUUCAGGAGAACUUUGGAUUGUUUUACAAAAUGCUUUGGGUGACAGCAAUGUCCCAAUCUCUAGCUCUCUUGAUUUCUCCCUUCCAAACUGUCUCCCCUUUCUGAUAAACCAGGAGAAUCCCUAGGUUUUCUAACUUUAAGGUUCUCCCAGGACCAGCUGACCUUCUUCUUUCCUUCAUAGGAAAGGAUAUAAUACAAACACAAAUUCCAUGA